rnacentral:lncRNA from 1 species
UUUAAAUAAAUAUUUUCUAAUUUAUUUAAAUUCUAGCCUUUUGUCCAAUUUAUAGCAAUCUUAGCCUGACUCCACAUAAUUUAUUACAGUUCUAGCCUAAUUUGUGUCUAUUUGAACUCAAUUGUAAUUUUUUAUUCAAUUCGGACCAGAUUCUUAAUUUUUAAAUCUCAGCCGUUGAUCAGAAGUGAUCUAACGGCUGAGAUCAAGCUCUUGCCUCCUUUCCUUUUAUACACAAAGAAAGGAACCGUAAUUCAUUUUCCAACAGCCACACUUUCUCUCCCUCUCUCUCUACAAUCUCUCUCUCUCUCUCUAAGACCUUCUCUCCAUCUAUAAAUGGCUGCAACUGCCAGUCAGCCUCCACGGCUCGCCUCUCACCGUCCACCCUCCAGACCUCUUUUCUCUCUCUCCUUCACCGGCAAACCCCGCUGGAUUAGCCAAUGAAGCUACCGCAAAAUUGGCGCCCGUAACCCGCCGCCGCCGCUGCUUCGGUCGAACCAACAGCCCUCCCCGUUGCAGCCGCUACUCCGGUCGAACCAACAGCCCUCCCCAUCUCUAGCCGCCACAAAAGCAACGACGACUAACCAAACAGCCCCUCCGGCGUCUAUCUCAACAGCCACCAGCCUCCUCCUCCGCACGGUCAGCCAAUCAGCACUGCGACCACCAUGGCUGGUGAACCAGCCGUCAUUGCAUUCCGUCGCCGCAACUCCAGCCGGCCGGACCAAUCGGAGAAGGCUCCACUUCUCCAUCGCCGAUCAAGCAGCCACGAGUUUAUUCUAUUUUGCUCACCGGAGGUGAUGACCGGUGAGGUAUUGAUUGGUAACCUCUCCGAUAUUGGCUGAUUUUAGGAAUCAUCAUAGGUUCUGCCUUGAUUGAUGUUUGUGAUUUAGAUUUAUUGACAUGUUUAGGUUCUCAUAUAGUUGGUGACCCUUACUUUUGUCCUCGAAAUUUAAAAUAAGUGGCCGGUUGUUUUUCAAUUCUUAAAUCAUUAUUCUUGUUUACGAAUUGUGUCCUUUUUGAUUUGCUUAACAUUGAUGGAAAAUUUGUUUCAUAACUUACAAUUAUACACUUAGCGUUUGUAACAAAAAUAGUUGAUUUCAUUUUUUCAUUCUUGACUGAAUAUUUUGAAACUGAUUGAGUAUGCAAUUUUGAUGAUUUGAAUUGAUUUAUGCAUAAUGGAGUUACUGUGAUUAAGGAAUCUCUUUCCUGAUUAAUUGCUUUUUACAUUUUAAAUGACCAGCUGUAUUCCUUAUAAUUUUUUCAUAUCUAUUUGAGGCAAGUUAGACAAAUUUUCAUUUCCUAAUUGAUUAUUGAUUGAUUCUGAAAUAUUUUUCCCUUUAUUUUUUCCUUGAUUGAUUUGGUUGGUUUAUUUAUUUAAGGAAUACAUAUAUAUAUGUUUAUUUUUCCUUUUAUUCUCAUGGGCUGAAUUUUACAUAAUUGAUUAUAUCAUUUGUUUAAGAAAAAUAAUCUCCUUUAUUGACUUAUCAAAUAUUCCCUUUCAUUUAAUCAUACACCAUUCUAUGCCUAUAAAAACAACCCCUCCUCAUUUUGGAGAAACAAGUUACAACACACAACAUACAUUUUCUCUUACUAAAAUCUUAAAAUAAAGAAGCGGUAAUUUUAUUUUAUUAUUCUUGGCACUCGUUUCUGGAGCAUUAAUAUUGACCUAUCGGUGGCAAUUAAUUCUCGGAUCUCUGGCUGUUUAUUUUUUUGUUAUUAUUAUUAUCUGUUAUCAUCAACAAUCAGUCCCUGACAACGUAAUUUUCUUUUAUACCUUAUAUGAUGAUGCUAGUAAACAUGCUUAUAGGAAUCAUUUGGUGUUUUCUUGCUAUGUUUAUGUCAUGUUAUAUUCCCACUUGUAUUGCUAUUAUGUAUUGUCUCACAGGUAUAAAUAGACAGUCUCGGGUAUUUGAAGAGUCGCCGAAAAGUUUAUGGGGGAGGGCUGCACCUUUUCUUUCUUUGUUCAUUUAUUUAUUUUUGAUUCAUGGUGUUGUAAUAACUCUGUAUAAACACUAUUAUUUUGUAAUAAUAAAAUUUGGGGAUUGCUUCGGGGGGCAGGGACUUACGUGCUCUAUGAAUAGUGUAGAUAGGCACAACUUAGAUUUUACGUGUGUUAUGUGCUACGUGGAUCAAGUUAGGCACACAAAUCUAGGAUUUAUUAAUACAUUAAUCACUUAGACAUUUAAUCUACUUAUUAAUUCGAUUAGAAAUCUUGAUUUUAGGAUUAAACUGACAUCUGCAAUGCUAAAUUAAAUUCAUGCAUAUUAAUACAUUUUUAGCAUGUUAAGCAUUUGAAUUAAGUAUGCCACUGUAUGUUUAGCAUGUUAGCAAGAAUUUAAGCAUAUUGGUAUUUUUGAGCAUGUCAGCAAUUAAAUUUCACAUAUUAAUACAUUUUAUCAUUUUUAGCAUGUUAAACAUUAAAAUUAAUUAUGUUGUCUAGCAUGUUAACACAAAUCUAAGCAUGUUAAUAUUUUAGAGCAUGUUAACAUAAAAUUCCUGCAAAUUAAUAUAUUUUAUAACGUGUUAAAAUCGUGUUUCUGCAUAAAACAAUUAAAAUCCGGCAUGUUAAAACUGCAUUUUUGCAUAAAAUAAUUAAUUAACAGCAUGUUUAAAAAUUAAUUAAAGCAAUUUCAAUAUAUUAAAUAGUGGAUUAAGUAUGUCAUUGUAAUUUUUGGCCUAUUAAUGCAAUUUCUGCAUGUUAUCAUGAAAUUACAGCGCAUUAGCAUAAUUUUCAGCAUGUUAAAAUAUCAAAAAAAAAUAAUUAUUUAUCUUUGCAUAUUUAUCAUAUUAAUCAACUCUUUAAUUACCAAGGGGCUAACGUGAUACAUUACUUGCUACUUGACGUCCAAUGUGUUACGCGUUUUGAGUCCUAAGCAACAUAACUUUAUUUUGGCUAGACUAUAAAUUCAAAAUAGAAAAGUCCAAUGCCUCUUGGACGAUAGGCGAGACGAUAGAAAUUACUAAAAAUGUUAGUUUUAUCCUUGUACUAGAACGCCUUUAGAUUUGACAUCCAGCCUAGGAGGGGUGGGACGGGUAGUCAUUCGAAAGUGAUGAUCUCCAACCGACAUUAAAGGUAAGACAUAUGACUUGUUUAUGAGUUCGGCCAGUAGGUCGGAUGAUGAUUAAACAAGUUAGGGUUCUUAUCCGAAUGAGACCAAGACAUUUCUUUGUUUGAUUUGACAAAUUCUUUUUAUUUGCUUAUUUACCUUACAUGCUUAUUUAUUUGGGCUAAUUAGUUUGUUAUAUAAGCAAUCCUCUUUUGUUAUAAAUUAUGUCAUUUCUUUCUCCUCGCUUAUCUUAUUUUAUGUUUUUAUCACUUAGAUAAUUAACAAUUAGAAAUAAUAAAAUAAUAUGUUUGGUUCAUUAAUUGUUUUAUCACUUAGUUAAACAUUAAGUUAAUAAUAAACAAAAGACUUUGAUCACAUAGAAUCCCCGCGUAAAAUACAAAUUUGGCCGGGAACUACCUUUUUGGACCUCACAAGGUGCCUAACACUUUCCUUUUGAGGUAAUUUGAACUCUUAUCAGAAUUUUUAGUGAACUAAGAUAAAACAAAAAAAAUAUGUUCGUAGUAGCCUAGAACGUUGCUCUAACGCAUCUUAAUUCGUUAGGUGGUGACUCUUCAUACUCUACCCUUAAAAUAAUUUCAAAAAGAGUGGUCACGUCGAAUUCUGCAAAGAAAAUAGGGCGCGAUAAAGAGUCGAGUGAGGCCCUGUUGAGCUUCCUGUCUAUGGCUCUGUCAUUACAUCAAAAUGAGAAUUGCAAGUUAAAAACAUAAAGAAAACUACAAAAGUCCUAUCUAUGCAGCUUUCCUUGACUUUGACUUAUUAUUUCAUCACCCUAUUCUUUAGGCGGUUCCUAACAUGCAAUUUCUUUACCCCGUUCUCCAGGCGGGCUCCUGACUUGCAAUUUCUUCAACUUGUUGCUUUGUUUUUAAUUUCUUCACCCUAUUCUUUGUGCGGUCUCCUGAGUUGCUAUUUUUCAAUCUGUUGACUUUCAAUUUCUUUACCUUAUUGCUUGACUUUCAACUUUUUUCCUUGUUGCUUGACUUUCAUUUAUUCACCCUGUUCUUUGAGCGGGCUCCUGAAAUCACAUCAAAACUAGAAAGAAAAUUAUCCUAAACAAAUGUUAUUAUAAAGAGAGAUUCCAUUUGUCAGAAAAGUAAAGUUCCUAAAACAGAAAUUAAAUUUUUGCCCUAGUUUAUCAUCAAAAAACUUUUGCGAAUGUCAAAUCCAAUCAUAACUACUUGCAUGUUGCAAUGAUAAAUCAAGACUCUGACCAGAAAAUGCAUCUUUUGAGAUUAAAAUUAAAUGACCAAGACUAGGAAGUGCA